rnacentral:rRNA from 1 species
GACGAACGCUGGCGGCAGGCCUAACACAUGCAAGUCGAGCGAGUGGCGAACGGGUGAGUAACGCGUAAUCAACCUGCCCUUCAGAGGGGGACAACAGUUGGAAACGACUGCUAAUACCGCAUACUGAAGGAGGGGGUUGCGUCUGAUUAGCUAGUUGGAGAGGUAACGGCUCACCAAGGCGAUGAUGGGUAGCCGGCCUGGGAGGGUGAUCGGCCAAAAGGGGACUGAGAAACGGCCCUUACUCCUACGGGAGGCAGCAGUGGGGAAUAUUGAACAAUGGACCAAAGUCUGAUCGAGAAAUUCUGUGUGCACGAUGAAGUUUUUCGGAAUGUAAAGGGCUUUCAGUUGGGAAGCGGUACCAACAGAAGAAGUGACGGCUAAAUACGUGCCAGCCGCCGCGGUAAUUC